UAAUAUUACUUUUAUAUUUUUAAUAAAUGUAUUCCACUCACGUAUGCCCUUGCAGAACACUCUCUUGAAGGUCUUCCAUGAUAUGAAUGCACACAUGUGGAGGGGAGUUGGUCCCUCAACACAAAGGUUCAGUCAAUAUUAAGCCAUAAGAGGAAAGCAGCUCAGUGCCUCCUGAUGCAGUUGAACAUCCCUCCUGCUGGCUGUCACUCUUGGAGGUAGAUGGUCCUGCACAGCUCCACAGUGGCCCAUGUACCAGGCAUUCCAUGUUCCAUGUUCUCCAUUCCUGUAGAGACAAAGAUGAUGGCCCGUGGUGACUACAAAAGAUACGGUUCUCUCAGGGUAGCCAUGAAGCCGUGAGCAGACAUGAGUGGUCACUGAAAAUUCCUCAAGACCUCAAAACUGGCACAAACCUGACAUACUUCUUCACUAAGACUCAUUUCGUAGAUGAAGAAACUAAGACCCAUCCAGAAAAUGCCCUUCCCUCUAUGAAAUCCUGACUCAUGAGAAUGCCCAAGGCAGUUCCCCUCAGCCACGGGAAUCUCUACACGUGGGGCCUCUUGCAACUCCUGAGUUUUAACCCUUCAUGUCCAGCUGGUGGUGCCAUGCAGGGAGAUUAUGGAACUUUUAGGUAAGGAGGUGGAGACUCCCUGGAGGAAGGAUUCCUGGGGGGCGGGCCUUGAACUUUUAUAGCACCACUCAACAUCCUGUUCUCUUUCUGCUUCCUAGUUGUGAAUGUAACAUGACUGUGGCAUUCUCAUGUCAUGUCACUGAUGCCUGUCACUCCUGAUGUCAUGCUUCACCCACCAUAAUGUAAUCCAUUAAGUCUAAAUAAACCAUUCCUCCUCAAA